rnacentral:rRNA from 1 species
GACGAACGCUGGCGGCGUGCUUAACACAUGCAAGUCGAACGGAAAGGCCCUGCUUUUGUGGGGUGCUCGAGUGGCGAACGGGUGAGUAACACGUGAGUAACCUGCCCUUGACUUUGGGAUAACUUCAGGAAACUGGGGCUAAUACCGGAUAGGAGCUCCUGCUGCAUGGGGGGGGUUGGAAAGUUUCGGCGGUGGGGGAUGGAUUCGCGGCUUAUCAGCUUGUUGGUGGGGUAGGGGCUGACCAAGGCUUUGACGGGUAGCCGGCCUGAGAGGGUGACCGGCCACAUUGGGCCUGAGGUACGGCCCAGACUCCUACGGGCGGCAGCAGUGGGGAGUAUUGCACAAUGGCCGGACGCCUGAUGCAGCAACGCCGCGUGCGGGAUGACGGCCUUCGGGUUGUAAACCGCUUUCGCCUGUGACGAAGCGUGAGUGACGGUAAUGGGUCAAGAAGCACCGGCUAACUACGUG